GAUGAAGAACGCAGCGAAAUGCGAUACGUAAUGUGAAUUGCAGAAUUCAGUGAAUCAUCGAAUCUUUGAACGCAUAUUGCGCUCUCUGGUAUUCCGGAGAGCAUGCUUGUUUGAGUAUCAGUAAACACCUCAACUUCCAUAUCUUUUUUGAAAUGGGAGUUGGACUUGAGUGAUCCCAACGCUUUUCCUCACCGAAAAGUGGCGGGUUAAUUGAAAUGCAGGUGCAGCUGGACUUUUCUCUGAGCUAUAAGCAUAUCUAUUUAGUCUGCCUAAAAAACAGAUUAUUACCUUUGCUGCAGCUAACAUAAAGGAGAUUAGUUCUUGUGCUGACUGAUGCAGGAUUCACAAAGACAGCUUCGGCCGACUUUGUAAACUCGAUCUCAAAUCAAGUAAGACUACCCGCUGAACUUAAGCAUAUCAAUAAGCGGAGGA
rnacentral:misc_RNA from 1 species